GUAGUCAUAUGCUUGUCUCAAAGAUUAAGCCAUGCAUGUCUAAGUAUAAGCAACUUUGUACUGUGAAACUGCGAAUGGCUCAUUAAAUCAGUUAUAGUUUAUUUGAUGGUUUUUGCUACAUGGAUAACUGUGGUAAUUCUAGAGCUAAUACAUGCAUUCAAGCCCCGACUUCUGGAAGGGGUGUAUUUAUUAGAUAAAAAUCAACUUUGUUGGUGAAUCAUAAUAACUUCUCGGACCGCAUGGCCUCGUGCUGGCGGUGCUUCAUUCAAAUAUCUGCCCUAUCAACUGUCGAUGGUAGGAUAGAGGCCUACCAUGGUUGCAACGGGUAACGGGGAAU
rnacentral:rRNA from 1 species